CCUACGGGUGGCAGCAGUGGGGAAUAUUGCACAAUGGGGGAAACCCUGAUGCAGCGACGCCGCGUGAGUGAAGAAGUAAUUCGUUAUGUAAAGCUCUAUCAGCAGGGAAGAAAAUGACGGUACCUGAGUAAGAAGCCCCGGCUAACUACGUGCCAGCAGCCGCGGUCAUACGUAGGGGGCAAGCGUCAUCCGGAUUUACUGGGUGUAAAGGGAGCGUAGACGGCAGUGCAAGUCUGGAGUGAAAGGCGGGGGCUCAACCCCCGGACUGCUUUGGAAACUGUACGGCUGGAGUGCGGGAGAGGUAAGUGGAAUUCCUAGUGUAGCGGGGAAAUGCGUAGAUAUUAGGAGGAACACCAGUGGCCAAGGCGGCUUACUGGACUGUAACUGACGUUGAGGCUCGAAAGCGUGGGGAGCAAACAGGAUUAGAUACCCUUGUAGUC
rnacentral:rRNA from 1 species